rnacentral:sRNA from 1 species
UUGCUUGCAGAUUGUAAUAUGAAACGGUGAAAUAAAUAGAAAAAAUAGGGGAAAUAACCAAUACGAGAUCAAGAAUACUUUGAAAAUAUUAUAAUGACAAUAAAAAAUUGCUUAAAGAAUCGGAGAACGCAAGCUUGAAAUGGAAUUACCACUCAGAUAAAAUUAAAAUCGAUUGAGAGUUAGAUGAAUUAAGCAUCAAAAUUAAUACUUAUGAUUUGCUUGCUGUAAAGGAAAUCAUUAAUUCGCUCACAAUACGGUACCAUAAAUGAAUACUGGAAAAUUUACAUAAAG